CCUACGGGUGGCAGCAGUGAGGAAUAUUGGUCAAUGGACGCAAGUCUGAACCAGCCAUGCCGCGUGAAGGAUGACGGCUCUAUGAGUUGUAAACUGCUUUUGUACGAGAGUAAAGUGCAAUAUGUAUACCGGGUUGAAAGUAUCUUAUGAAUAAGGAUCGGCUAACUCCGUGCCAGCAGCCGCGGUAAUACGGAGGAUCCGAGCGUUAUCCGGAUUUAUUGGGUUUAAAGGGAGCGUAGGCGGUUUGAUAAGUCAGUGGUGAAAGGUCGCGGCUCAACCCCAAAAUUGCCUCUAAUACUGGUAGCCUAGAGAAUAGUUGAGGUAGGUGGAAUUCAUGGUGUAGCGGUGAAAUGCUUAGAGAUCAUGAAGAACACCGAUUGCGAAGGCAGCUUGCUAAACUAUAUCUGACGUUGAGGCACGAAAGCGUGGGUAGCAAACAGGAUUAGAUACCCGGGUAGUC
rnacentral:rRNA from 1 species